UCGAAGAAUCAGCAGAUUAGACUGUUGUUUAUCCACCACGUUUAUAAAAGAGAUUCUGCUCUCGAUACCUCAGUAGAUAUCGCAAUGAAAGUGCCAGUACUGAUAGUACUAGCCCUCGUGGGCUUGUCUAGUGCCAAAUACGAGGGCUCAACAAUCUUGAGUUUAGCAUUGAAAUCGAAAAUGUUGGAACCGCCAUUCAGGCUGAAAAACACUACCACAAAUCGAGACAAGCUUUAGGUUUGGGAACAAUUACUUUUGACCAAUAUUUACGCCACGCUGAGAUUAAUGCUUAUUUGGCCCAACUGGCUAAAGACUACCCCGACACUGUCACUCUAGGAACAAUCGGACAGUCGUACGAAAAACAUUCCCCGACUACAAUCCGAUCUAUUCUUACAGCAUCUCCUCUUUCACGACAGCUUAUACCGUUUAUAGGUAUGUGUCUAUCGAGGAGAAUCAUCGGCACGACCAUCAAUCCUGAAUUCGUCUUCGACUCAUGAGCCUUUGGCCUUUGGCGAAUCAACAGGACAGUAAAAUUAGCUGAACUUGGUGAACAAACCAAGCAUUUGGAAAUUUAAAUAGAAUUUUAUUAUUAACACUAUAAACAAAUCAUUAGCAGAAUAAUAAAAUAAGUAUUAAUUUUUUUAACAUAAUAAAUUAUAAUAGUGUAUCACUACA